rnacentral:misc_RNA from 1 species
UCCUUCCGUUUUAAUAUCAAUGUCAACAUUUAAUACUAGAUAACUAUGUUUAACAGCAAAGUUUUAGUAGAAGGAAGAUGUCAAUGUUCUUUACAGUUUGAUUUGGUUUAAUUUAUGCCUAUUAAUUGUAAUAAAUGUUAUUAUAACAUUUCUUUAAUAAAAUUAAUUAUUUAUUUUUUAAAUAUUUAAUUUAAAAUAUUGUUCAUUUAUUUAUGGGAUUGAUCAUUCAGUAAAAAAUAAAGUUUUGGAACUAAAAUGGUAGAAGAAACAGUUAAUUCUACAAAUAAGCCAAAAGUUAAAACUGCUCGGCCUAGACCAGUGUAUUUAUGGAAUGUAUUAGAUGUUCAGAAAUGGUUACGGAGACAUUGCAGUGACUAUUAUCAGUUAUAUCAUGAAAAAUUUCUUUAUCAUGAUAUUACAGGAAGAGUACUUUUGAGGAUAAAUGAAAAUAUUUUACUGAGGCUUGGAAUUGAUAACGAGCAACAUAGAAUGGAUAUAUGGAGAGAGAUUAUGAAGCUGCAUCUUAAGACUGACAUGUUAGAAAUAAGAGACAUAGAACGUCGUAACAAUGUGAAUUUUGACUAAAAUAGAAAGACGGAUAACUACUGGAACCAGUUCUUCGCCAGUCAUAUCUAAAAUGAUUCAUCGUAUACAACGAAGAUUAAUGGAUGUCUAGAAGGAGGACAUAUGUUAAAUUGUAUUAAAUUAAUGUAAUUCUAGUCAAUUUCGUGUGUUGCAGGAAUUUUGGCUAUUAAUUUUUUAAGGGAAUUCAGAUUAGUGAUGUAGUAUUUUUUAAUAAUAGUAACGAGAAUUGAUAAUAUAAAAAAAGCACCUGAGAA